GUAAGAGAUGAACAACAGUUAAUAAUAAAAUACAAUUAUAGCAAUAUACUGUAAAAAAUGUUCUGUGAAUGUGAUGAAUUGAUAAAUGAA